GAUCAUGGCUCAGAUUGAACGCUGGCGGCAUGCCUUACACAUGCAAGUCGAACGGUAACAGGUCUUCGGACGCUGACGAGUGGCGAACGGGUGAGUAAUACAUCGGAACGUGCCCAGUCGUGGGGGAUAACUACUCGAAAGAGUAGCUAAUACCGCAUACGAUCUGAGGAUGAAAGCGGGGGACCUUCGGGCCUCGCGCGAUUGGGGCGGCCGGAGUGGCAGAUUAGGUAGUUGGUGGGAUAAAG
rnacentral:rRNA from 1 species